UGGGGGAUAUUGCACAAUGGGCGAAAGCCUGAUGCAGCGACGCCGCGUGGGGGAUGAAGGCCUUCGGGUUGUAAACUUCUUUUGCUCUGAACAAGGCAUGCCUUUGGGGUGUGUUGAGUGUAGGGGUUGAUUAGCGCCGGCUAACUACGUGCCAGCAGCCGCGGUAAUACGUAGGGCGCGAGCGUUGUCCGGAAUCACUGGGCGUAAAGGGUUCGCAGGCGGAAAUGCAAGUCAGGUGUAAAAGGCAGUAGCUUAACUACUGUAAGCAUUUGAAACUGCAUAUCUUGAGAAGAGUAGAGGUAAGUGGAAUUUUUGGUGUAGCGGUGAAAUGCGUAGAUAUUAAAAAGAAUACCGGUGGCGAAGGCGACUUACUGGGCUCAUUCUGACGCUGGGGAACGAAAGCGUGGGUAGCAAACAGG
rnacentral:rRNA from 1 species